AAUAUAAUAGCUUAAUAAUUAAAGCAUAUUAUUACUAAUAAUAAGGUGUUAGGUUUAAAUUCUAGCUAUAUUU
rnacentral:tRNA from 1 species